rnacentral:rRNA from 1 species
CGCGUGAGUGAUGAAGGCCCUAGGGUUGUAAAGCUCUUUCGCCAGGGAAGAUAAUGACGGUACCUGGUAAAGAAACCCCGGCUAACUCCGUGCCAGCAGCCGCGGUAAUACGGAGGGGGUUAGCGUUGUUCGGAAUUACUGGGCGUAAGGCGCGCGUAGGCGGAAUAAUAAGUCAGGGGUGAAAUCCCGAGGCUCAACCUCGGAACUGCCUUUGAUACUGUUAAUCUUGAGUUCGAGAGAGGUGAGUGGAAUUCCGAGUGUAUAGGUGAAAUUCAUAUAUAUUCGGAGGAACACCAGUGGCGAAGGCGGCUCACUGGCUCGAUACUGACACUGAGGUGCGAAAGCGUGGGGAGCAAACAGGAUUACAUACCCUGGUAGUCCACGCCGUAAACAAUGAGAGCUAGUCGUUGGAGAGUUCGC